AACAAAGCAAAGAUUGGAAAGAGUAAAUAACAUUAAACUUUAAGAGAGUCAGUGGAUGGUGUGAACUGAUAGAGCGUGUUAUUGAAAAUCGGCCAUAGCUAUUUAUGCGAAAGCUCUAGUGAGUAGUUUAAAUCGGUAUAAUACCGUUAUCAUUAUUGAGUGACAUGAUCUCAUUGUUUUUGUGAUCUGUAAUUUGGGUGGUACCACGGCUUAGUCGUCCCAUAG
rnacentral:ncRNA from 1 species